rfam:Cavia porcellus supercont2_15 genomic scaffold, whole genome shotgun sequence.
AUGCUACUUCGGUCAUGAGCGUGACGACUGGUGGUCAGGACUUGUGCAAAAUGCAUGAGAUGUGCCUCCCUCAAACCAAAGCACAUUACCUGUCUGACA